rnacentral:pre_miRNA from 1 species
GACAAGUGUAAUACUACGUUUGACCAUUUGUCUUAUUUAAAUUUUUUUAUUGUUAAUAGAUGAUAAAACAUAAAUAAUACUUUGUGUGUAACAAUUUUUUUCAAUUUUUUCAUAAGUUUUCAAAUAAGAUGGACGGUUAAAUGUUGGAUACAGGUACUCAUGGCUACACUUAUU